AUGGUUUUCACUCCGUCUUUUAUUAACGAGCCUCUUGUAGACACAAAUGGCUCCCCCGCCCCCUACCUCCUUAUCGCCCUGGAGUGGACCUACCUGAAGUGGGUGGAACAAUCCAAAGUUUUAAUCAAAGAAAGUGGUGUUCAGUUGCUGCUCACAAUAGUUGAUACCCCAGGAUUUGGAGAUGCAGUGAGAAUAGUAAUUGCUGGCAGCCUUACAAUCAGCUACAUUAAUAGUAAAUUUGAGGACUACCUAAAUGCAGAAUCUCGAGUGAAUAGACGUCAGAUGCCUGAUAACAGGGUGCAGUGUUGUUUAUACUUCAUUGCUCCUUCAGGACAUGGACUUAAACCAUUGAAUAUUGAGUUUAUGAAGCAUUUGCACGAAAGAGUAUCAUCUCACUUAUUGCCAAAGCAGACACACUCACACCAGAGGAAUGCUAACAGUUUAAAAACAGAUAAUGAAAGAAAUCCAAGAACAUAAAAUUAAAAUACAUGAAUUUCUAGAAACAGAUAAUAAAGAAGAAAAUAAACUUGUUAAAAAGAUAAAGGACCAUUUACCUGUUGUUGCUGUGGUAGGUAGUAAUACUAUCACUGAAGUUAAUGGCAAAACAAUCAGAGGAAGGCAGUAUCCUUGGGGUAUUGCUAAAGUUGAAAAUGGUGAACAUUGUGAUUUUACAAUUCUAAGAAAUAUGUUGAUAAGAACACACAUGCAGGACUUGAAAGAUGUUACUAAUAAUGUCCACUAUGAGAACUGCAGAAGCAAAAAACUAGCAGCUGUGACUUAUAAUGGAAUUGAUAACAACAAGAAAAAAGGGCAGCUGACUAAGAGCCCUCCGGCACAAAUGGAAGAAGAAAGAAGGGAGCAUGUAGCUAAAAUGAAGAAGAUGGAGCUGGAGAUGGAGCAGAUGUUUGAGAUGAAGGUCAAAGAAAAAGUUCAAAAUUGAAGCACUCUGAAGUUGAGCUCCAGCGGCACCAUGAGCAAAUGAAAAAUAAUUUGGAAGCACAGCAUAAAGAAUUAGAGGAAAAACGUCGUCAGAGGACGAGAAAGCAAACCGGGAAGCUCAACAACGUAUUUUAGAACAACAGAACUCUUCGAGAACCUUGGAAAAGAACAAGAAGAAAGGAAGAUCUUUUAAACUCUCUGUUGACCACCAGUUACGUAUUAGCUGCCAAUAUGCCAGCUUGGACAUCAGUGUUUGUUGGAUCCGUUUGACCAAUUUGCGCGUUUUAUCUAGAAUGAUGGAUUUAACAGCAUGACAAACAUUAUUUUUGUUGUUGUUGUUCUUGAUGGAGAUUAAGAUGCCUUCAAUUGUCUAUAGGGUGUUGUGUGCUUAGUAACAGCUCUACCUUUCUUACUUUUUCUUUUUCUAUUAAACAGAUUAUCUUCAGUUGAAUGCAAGAGAACAUUUUACUGUUGUACAAUCAUGUUCUGACGGUUUGAUUGUUUACAGGAUAUUCCAAAAUAAAAGGACUCUGGAAGGUUUUCA